rnacentral:tRNA from 1 species
CUGGGUGGUGCAAAGUGGUUAAUGCGCUUGGCUGCUAAUCAAAAGGUUGACAGUUUGAGUCCAUCCAGA